GCCAUCAGGAGGACUGAAACUGUAAACACAAGCUGGUAUUUUGGUGUGAUCACGCUAAUAUGGCGGUUUGUGAGGUCAAGGGGUGGAAGGUGAAUUAUGGAUCCAGAAUUUCCUUGCUUUUGUCAGUUUAAGUCAGGCUGCUUGCGAGUAGCUGCUUUUCAAACUUGAAUAACUCAGCUAUUUUAAAGCAAUGGAGACCUACCUUAAAUAAUUAGAGGGGCUACACUGGAGAAGUGUCUUCCCAGGAAAGUAGUGGAGGCUCCAUUCUGCAGAACCUUUAAAAUUAGACCAUGAAAGGCAUGUAACAGCCUCGUUCUCAACAUAACCAUGAGUUGUUCACAGCAUAAAGUGUUGGGUAAAACAACCCAAGGUCUUUAUAAAACUUCUCAUCUCAAUGGAAAACCAUUUAGGUGGCUUGUUUUAUUAUUAGAAGUUCACUUAACAAAAAAAUGGAAAAUAGUUUAUUUAACUGUCCAGUGUACCCUAAAAAGAAAUGAACCAAGUUUCAGACAGAACUCGGAAUACUUCUCCCACUUUGCUGUUGAGGAAAAAAUUAUCUUUGUUGUUUAGUUACAGGUAGGCAAUAUAUCUUUAACCAAAGUUGUGCUAGAUGGGGUCUUCAAGGUUAUUUGGAUUUUGAUGUACUAAGAAAAUAUCCUCAGUAGAAAAAUACCAGAAAUGGCAUUCCAACUCACCCUACCAAGGACAAGAAGCAGAUCAUUAGGAACAGAUAUAUUGGAGCUUGGCCCUGUAAAAACAUAGGAUAGCUAACAAAUACAUAAAAUUAGUUGUAUGGCCUCAUUUAUUCCUUCAUAGAGAUACAGCUCCUGGCAACCACCAUUCUACUUGAUGCCUCUAUGAAUCUGACUACUCUAGGUACCUCAGAUGAGUGGAAUUAUGCAGUAUUUGUCCUUUUGUGUGUACAACUAAUUUGACAGGCAGUAUGAUAAGGAACAAUCUGAAUGACACGUAAACAGGAGGGGGUAAAUUCCAAGCACAGCCUGAAUGAGAAGUACAACUCAUUUCCUGUAACCUAGAUGCCUUUUUAACACAUCUAUGCAGUCUCCAUGUGAAACCAGGUGCUGUUCCCAAAGGAGAAAACACUGCCCUCCAGUGGUCUUCAAUGAAGAAAUGGAAAUAGUUUCAGGUGGAAACCAGGCUUCUUGGAAGACUUCAAACUAUGCCAAAUGGUCUGAUUUCACCAUAGAGAUUCUUUGCUGAAGAAUGCAGCUGUAUUAAAGGAAGAAAGAAAACCAAGCUACAGCUCCUUAUAAUUCAACAAGCAUUUAAAAGAUUUAUAAAGAUGGUGCAAUUAUGUAUUUAAGCUGCUUCAACACAAGUUCUUGCCUUUCACUCCCACCCUGUGGCUUACACUGGUAUUACAUCUAUUCUGACAUUUAAAAAUCAACAUUAAAGAACAUAUUGUAAUAAUGUAUUCUAUGGUUUAAAUAUUUAAAAAAUUUUACAUCAUACCUAGAAAGUGUUGUGUACUUUCUAAAGCUUAUAAACUGAAAAGGAUUUGAAGAAUCCUAAUACAGAAUCAUAAGUUAUAAUUCAUCCAAAAUUGUAUAGUUCUUAAAUUUCAAAUCCAAACCAGUGGAUAUCUGUCUUUAGUGACAUUUAGAUUUUAUUCAAUUAAGGUCAUUGUAGCUAUUAUAAAUGGAAGAUUUUACUUCAUUGUGUCUUAUCACUGAAGUACUUCACUCUUGCUUUUCAAAAGAUUUCUUUCAAUUUCUUCAGAGUCUUAUUUGUUCUCUAAGACAAAGACUUGAUUUCAGUUUGUUUUUCUUAAAAUUAAUAUCUUCUCCAAUUUAUUUCCCAGUUUUUUCUAAAUAAAUACUUUAAAUAUAUAGAGUAUUAUUUUUAUAGUAUCUCAGAAUUAGUAAAAUAAAAUCUUGCCAAUACAAA
rnacentral:lncRNA from 1 species